CUGAAACACAUUAGCGCGUUUGGCAAGUGCUCUAUCAGAGGGCCAUUAGACUGAGGCUUGUGCAUGAGGGGAUAGCAUGCUUUUACUUUCACUCUCUUUCUAAUAAAAAACGAUUUCCCGGUCGGAAUAUUAUCGCUUUUUUACGAGAAAAAUGUUAUAAAAAUUGAUUUUAAACAGCAGUUGACAUGCUUCGAAGUACGGUAAUGGAAUAUUUAGAAUUUUUUUGUCACGAAAUGCCCCAUGCUCGUAACCCUUAUUUACCCUUUCGGAUAGUGUCUUGAACGCACGAACAAAACGCCGCUAUUUAGAUAUAACAAUGGAUUAUUUGGGACCAAACCAACAUUUGUUAUUGAAGUAGCAGUCCUGGGAGUGCAUUCUGACGAAGAACAGCAAAGAUCCUUUCAAGCUCUGUCAGGCUGGAUGGGGAGCGUCACUGCACAGCUAUUUUCAGGUCUCUCCAGAAAUCUUAGAUCGGCUUCAAGUCCGGGCUCUGGCUGGGCCACUGAAGGACAUUCAGAGACUUGUCCCGAAACCAGUUCUGCCCUGUCUUGGCUGUGUGCUUAGUGUCAUUGUCCUGUUGGAAGGUGAACCUUCACCCCAGUCCGAGGCCCUGAGUGCUCUGGAGCAGGUUUUCAUCAAUGAUCCCUGUACUUCGCUCCAUUCAUCUUUCCCUCGAUCCCGACUAGUCUCCCAGUCCCUGCCGCUGAAAAACAUCCCCACAGCAUGCUGCCACCACCAUGCUUCACUUUAGGGAAGAUGUGACGAUUGGCAUUCAGGCCAAAGAGUUCAAUCUUGGUUUCAUCAGACCAGAGAAUCUUGUUUCUCAUAGUCUGAGAGUCCUUUAUGUGCCUUUUGGCAAACUCCAAGUGGGCUCUCAUGUGCCUUUUAAUGAGGAGUGGCUUCUGUCUGGCCACUCUACCAUAAAGGCCUGAUUGGUGGAGUGCUGCAGAGAUUGUUGUCCUUCUGGAAGUUUCUCCCAUCUCCACAGAGGAACUCUGGAGCUCAGCGUGACCAUCUAGUUGCUCAGUUUGGCCGGGCGUCCGGCUCUAGAAAGAGUCUUGGUGGUUCCUAACUUCCUCCAUUUAAGAAUGAUGGAGGCCACUGUGUUCAAUGGAACUUCAAUGCUGCGGAAAUGUUUGGAUACCCUUCCCCAUAUCUGUGCCUCAACACAAUCCUGUCUCGGAGCUCUACGGACAAUUCCUUUGACCUCAUGGCUUGGUUUUUGCUCUGACCUGCACUUUCAACUCUGGGACCUUAUAUAGACAGGUGUGUGCCUUUCCAAAUCAUGUCUAAUCAAUUGAAUUUGCCACAGGUGGACUCCAAUCAAGUUGUAGAAACAUCUCAAGGAUGAUCAAUGUAAACAGGAUACACCUGAGCUCAAUUUUGCAUCUCAUAGCAAAGGGUAUGACUACUUAUGUAAAUAAUGUAAUACUUAUGUAGAUGUGAUAUUUCAGUUUAUUUUAAUUUUCAUAUUUGCUAAAAUAUCAAAAAAACUGUUUUUGCUUUGUCAUUAUGGGGUAUUGUGUGUAGAUUGUUGAGGAAAAAAACAAUUUAAUCCACUUUAGAUUAGGGCUGUAACAUAACAAAAUGUGGAAAAAGUCAAGUGGUCUGAAUACUUUCCGAAUGCACUGUACAUAUAAAUUGCAGAAAACAGUAUGUAAACAUGAUUGAAGUGACCAUUGUUCAAUUACUCUAUGUAUACUGAAAUAAAACAAUGCAACACGCAACAAUUUCAAAGAUUUUACAAAUUUACAUUUCAUAUAAGGAAAUCUGUCCAUUAGACCCUCAUCUCUGGAUCUCCAUUAACUGGGAAUACAGAUAUGCAUCUGUUGGUCACAGAUAUUGUACCUUAAAAAAACCCUCUGGGCACAGGUAUAGGGCACCCCUCAGCAGGAAAAACAGAACUAGCAAUGUCACGUCCUGACCAGUUUAGGUAUUAUUUGUAUUGUAGUUUGGUCAGGACGUGGCAGAGGGUAUUUGUUUUGGUUGGUUUGGGGUGGUUGGUUGUGUUUAGGGUGUGUGAUUUGUUAGUUCUGGGUGUUGGGUAUGUUCUAGGUUGUAUGUUCUAAGUUCUUUCUAGUUUAGUUUUUCUAUGUUUAGGUUUGGGUGUGGACUCUCAAUUGGAGGCAGGUGUUUCUAUUUUCCUCUGAUUGAGAGUCCUAUAUAUAGGUAUGUGUUUGGGGUUGUUAAUUGUGGGUAGUUGUAUUUCACACUGCUGUUAUUUUUGUAGCCUGUGAAACUGUCGGUCUGUCGUUCUUUGUUUUCUUGUUUUCUCGUGUUCACAAUAAAUAUAAAGAUGAACAUGCAACCCGCUGCGCCUUGGUCCUCUCUCUCCUACGACAGCCGUGACAGAACUACCCACCACAAACGGACCAAGCAGCGGAGGAAGGAGCAACAACAGGUGGAAUAUCGUGAGUCAUGGACUUGGGAGGAGAUUCUGGCCGGAGAGGGCCCAUGGAGGAAGUCUGGGGCGGACUGGAAUCGCUACUGGGGAAGACGGCUGGCGAGGAAGCCGGAGAGGCAACCCCAAGAAUAUUUUUUUGGGGGCACACGGGUAGGUUGGCUGGGCGAGGAUUAAGUCCCAAGCCAAAUCCCCGUGUUUUUUCCAAACAACCAUUGACUGGACAGGUCCCGUGCUUUGGGGUGAUGGGUGCUGUGACGAGGCCGGGUAUUUUCAGGCCGGUAUGCGCAGUACCAGCGCCCCGCAUGUGCCAGGGGAAAGUGGGCAUCCAGCCAGUAGGGG
rnacentral:lncRNA from 1 species